UCUGUCCGCCUUGGCCUCUCAAAGUGCUGAUAUUACAGGCGUGAGCCACUGCACCAGGCCUGUAUACCAUAUAUUACAUAUUUAUAUAUAUUUAUCUGUCCUCUACUGGAUUAACUUGGCUUUAACCAAUUCAAUACUUCAAUGUUUAAGGGAUGCCACCUCUGUGGUUAGCAUAUAAAGAUUGUGACUUCCAUCUUGCCAUCCAGCCUUCUGCCUUGCUGAUUGAUGAUUGAAAAAAAAUCACCUAUUUUGUUAUUAUGACUGUGGAAUGUCUUUUGUUCAUUUUAAUAUUUGUGUCACCAAAAGGAUCAACGUGGAAUGGAUAUGGCAUUAAAGGAGAAUGUCAAAUACUGCAUGGGAUGGCUAAGGCCUGUUCCACACAUUCUGGGGUGCCCCUGUGAUAAUAAUAGGUGCUGAUAAACUUCCAUGUUGAGAAAGUUCACAUAUCGAGAGACUAAUAGUGGGCCUUAGCCAGCAGUCAAUGAGAAACUAAAGCCCUCAGUUCAGCAGUCUGUGAGAAGCCAAAUUCUACCCACAAUGAUGUGAGUUCAACAUGAGUUCUUCCCCGCUGGAGUCUUCAGAUGAGACCUCAGCCCUGGCUGGCACCUUGAUGGCACCUUGUAAAUAAACUCAAUGCAGAGGAUUCAACUAUUUUCUAAAUUCUGAUCCACAGAAGGUAAGACAUAUGAAAUGUGUAUUUUUUGAAGCCACUAUGUUGUAAUAGACUACUAUUAUUUACAUAUGCAUAUAAAUAUGUAUGUAGGAAUAGAUAUGGAUAUAGAUGACAAUACACAACUUUAGCAGAUAGGAAGAGUAAAAAAAAUUGACUAAGUUGAACAAAUAUGUUAGAUAUUUUCCAAUUUGCAGGAUUGCUGCUACAACCCUUUCAGACACAGCAUAGAUGAAUGAACCAGAGUAAAACGUCCAUCAUCUGCUCAUAAAGCCUGCCAAAAUGUAUCAAAUUAAGGAAGAGGAGGAAUUUGACAACCAAAUCUGUAGUUUCUGCAUCAAGCAAAAUAGAUUUUCUUCACUUUGUCUGAGAAUCGCUUUGCUUUCAUCAACAAUCUUCAUCUUUCUACAAUUCAUCACAUCAGUACACAAUUAGCAAAUCCUCCUACCAUCUGGGAGGCCCUGUGCUAAGCAGGGUGUGAGAAUCUUAGAAAUAUUAUGCCAUUCCAGGUACUUCUAAUUUUCUGAGCUACAUAUACAUGGAAAGUUCUGUAGCAAGGUUUCUCAAGCUGAGCACAAUUGAUAUUUGUGGCUGCAAAAUUCUUUGUUGCAGAGGGAUAUCAUGUGCAUUUCAGGGUGCUGGACAGCAUCCCUGGCCUCCAUCCACUAGAUGCUAGUAUCAUUCCCCCACUCACCCACUUGUGACAAUCAAAAAUGUCUUCAGACAUUGCUCAGUGUCUCUUGGGGGACAAAAUCACUAUCAUUGAGAACCAUUGCUCUAAAGCAAAACACAAACAAACAAACCAUCAAAAAAAUGACAAAGAAUCCCUUCUUCAAUUUGCACAACCUUGAAAGCCACCCUUGGUAAUUCUUCUCACCACGUUCCCACAGGCAUUUUGAAUCUCUGCGAUAUGUCCAACUCCAGUGCCUUUCAGAAUGCUUACCAGUUCUGGCACCUGUGUCAUAAUUGCAGUAGGCUCCCCAGUCAUUUUGACAAGCAAACACUCACUGUGUAUUUGCAAAUACUCUUGGUGGAGGAGAGAAGGGAGUGUUGAGGUUCCUGGCCAAGAACCACUGUGAAACCGGUAGGUGUUGGCUGAUCAAAUACUGCUAGUUGCUGACUAGAGUGUUUCAUGUUCCUUCCACAGGAGAUGCUUUCUUCUUCGUGGACUGAUGCAUAGUCCCCAAAACCUUCUUCAACACGGCAUCAGCGCAAUCUCCUUUGACCCACCCAUUUCCCCCAAAAUCCCUUCCUCAGAAAAAUUCAUCAUCCCACCUCUCUACAUUAAAAGCACCUUAACCUUCUAACAGCACGUAAUUGGCCUACUUGCAAUGGCACACACAGUGUGUGUGUGUGUGUGUGUGUGUGUGUGCGUGUGUGUGUGUGGGUUGGUGGGGGUCGCCAUCCAUCACACUGUGGAUUCCAUUUCCAUAUCUGUCCCUAAUGGCUUGCUUUAAAGCUAUUUGUUUUAUAUUUAUUUUUUAUUCUAUUUUAUUUUAUUGAGACAGGGCCUCACUCUUUCACCCAGGCUGGAGUGCAAUGGCACGAUCUCUGCUCACUGCAACCUCUGCCUACCAGGCUCAAGCAAUUCUCCUGCUUCAACCUCCUAAGUAGCUGGGAUUACAGGUGCCUGCCACCAUACCAGGAAAAUUUUUGUAUUUUUAGUAAAGACAGGGCUUCACCAUGUUGGCCAGGCUGGCCUCGAACUCCUGACUUCAAGUGAUCCACCCACCUAGGCCUCCCAUAGUGCUAUGAUUACAGGCGUGAGCCACGGGGCCUGGCGAAUUUAUUUUUUAAAUUGAGGUAAAAUAUACAUAUAUAAUUUACUGUCUUUGCCAUUUUUAAGUGUACUGUUCAGUGGGAAUCAAUACAUUUAUCAUCUUUUUC
rnacentral:lncRNA from 1 species